rnacentral:rRNA from 1 species
UCCAGACUCCUACGGGAGGCAGCAGUGAGGAAUAUUGGUCAAUGGGUGAGAGCCUGAACCAGCCAAGUCGCGUGAGGGAAGACGGUCCUAUGGAUUGUAAACCUCUUUUGCCGGGGAGCAAAAAGCGGUACGUGUACCGCAUCGAGAGUACCCGGAGAAAAAGCAUCGGCUAACUCCGUGCCAGCAGCCGCGGUAAUACGGAGGAUGCGAGCGUUAUCCGGAUUUAUUGGGUUUAAAGGGUGCGCAGGCGGAAUGUCAAGUCAGCGGUAAAAUUUCGGGGCUCAACCCCGUCGUGCCGUUGAAACUGGCGUUCUUGAGUGAGCGAGAAGUAUGCGGAAUGCGUGGUGUAGCGGUGAAAUGCAUAGAUAUCACGCAGAACUCCGAUUGCGAAGGCAGCAUACCGGCGCUCAACUGACGCUCAUGCACGAAAGCGUGGGUAUCGAACAGGAUUAGAUACCCGAGUA